rnacentral:rRNA from 1 species
UACGUAGGUGGCAAGCGUUGUCCGGAAUUACUGGGUGUAAAGGGAGCGUAGGCGGUUAUGCAAGUUGAAUGUGAAAUCUAUCGGCUCAACUGAUAGGCUGCGGUCAAAACUGUAUAUCUUGAGUGAAGUAGAGGCAGGCGGAAUUCCUAGUGUAGCGGUGAAAUGCGUAAAUAUUAGGAGGAACACCAGUGGCGAAGGCGGCCUGCUGGGCUUUAACUGACGCUGAGGCUCGAAAGCGUGGGUAACAAACAGG